UACGUAGGUGGCGAGCGUUAUCCGGAAUUAUUGGGCGUAAAGGGUGCGUAGGCGGCUUAAUAAGUUUGUGGUGAAAUCGUGGGGCUCAACUCCAUCAAGCCACAAAAACUGUAAAGCUAGAGGACAGUAGAGGCAAGUGGAAUUCCAUGUGUAGCGGUAAAAUGCGUAGAUAUAUGGAGGAACACCAGUGGCGAAGGCGGCUUGCUGGACUGUAACUGACGCUGAGGCACGAAAGCGUGGGGAGCAAAUAGGAUUAGAUACCCCCGUAGU
rnacentral:rRNA from 1 species